rnacentral:rRNA from 1 species
GAUGAACGCUAGCGGCAGGCUUAAUACAUGCAAGUCGAGGGGCAGCAGGACUGUAGCAAUACAGUUGCUGGCGACCGGCAAACGCGUGCGGAACACGUACGCAACCUUCCCAAAACUGGGGGAGAGCCCGGGGAAACCCGGACGAAUACCUAGUAACCUUUUUAAGUGGUAUUACUUGAUAAGUAUAGCUCAGGCGGUUUUGGAUGGGCGUGCGCCUGAUUAGGUAGUUGGUGCGGGUAACGGCCCACCAAGCCUGCGAUCAGUAACUGGUGUGAGAGCAGGACCAGUCACACGGGGACUGGGACACGGGCCCGACUCCUACGGGAGGCAGCAGUAAGGAAUAUUGGUCAAUGGACGCAAGUCUGAACCAGCCAUGCCGCGUGAAGGAUGAAGGUCCUCUGGAUUGUAAACUUCUUUUAUGGGGGACGAAACCCGGAUAUUCUUAUCCGAUUGACGGUACCUUAGGAAUAAGCACCGGCUAACUCCGUG